GUCGAGCGAACGGACGAGAAGCUUGCUUCUCUGAUGUUAGCGGCGGACGGGUGAGUAACACGUGGAUAACCUACCUAUAAGACUGGGAUAACUUCGGGAAACCGGAGCUAAUACCGGAUAAUAUUUUGAACCGCAUGGUUCAAAAGUGAAAGACGGUCUUGCUGUCACUUAUAGAUGGAUCCGCGCUGCAUUAGCUAGUUGGUAAGGUAACGGCUUACCAAGGCAACGAUGCAUAGCCGACCUGAGAGGGUGAUCGGCCACACUGGAACUGAGACACGGUCCAGACUCCUACGGGAGGCAGCAGUAGGGAAUCUUCCGCAAUGGGCGAAAGCCUGACGGAGCAACGCCGCGUGAGUGAUGAAGGUCUUCGGAUCGUAAAACUCUGUUAUUAGGGAAGAACAUAUGUGUAAGUAACUGUGCACAUCUUGACGGUACCUAAUCAGAAAGCCACGGCUAACUACGUGCCAGCAGCCGCGGUAAUACGUAGGUGGCAAGCGUUAUCCGGAAUUAUUGGGCGUAAAGCGCGCGUAGGCGGUUUUUUAAGUCUGAUGUGAAAGCCCACGGCUCAACCGUGGAGGGUCAUUGGAAACUGGAAAACUUGAGUGCAGAAGAGGAAAGUGGAAUUCCAUGUGUAGCGGUGAAAUGCGCAGAGAUAUGGAGGAACACCAGUGGCGAAGGCGACUUUCUGGUCUGUAACUGACGCUGAUGUGCGAAAGCGUGGGGAUCAAACAGGAUUAGAUACCCUGGUAGUCCACGCCGUAAACGAUGAGUGCUAAGUGUUAGGGGGUUUCCGCCCCUUAGUGCUGCAGCUAACGCAUUAAGCACUCCGCCUGGGGAGUACGACCGCAAGGUUGAAACUCAAAGGAAUUGACGGGGACCCGCACAAGCGGUGGAGCAUGUGGUUUAAUUCGAAGCAACGCGAAGAACCUUACCAAAUCUUGACAUCCUUUGACAACUCUAGAGAUAGAGCUUUCCCCUUCGGGGGACAAAGUGACAGGUGGUGCAUGGUUGUCGUCAGCUCGUGUCGUGAGAUGUUGGGUUAAGUCCCGCAACGAGCGCAACCCUUAAGCUUAGUUGCCAUCAUUAAGUUGGGCACUCUAAGUUGACUGCCGGUGACAAACCGGAGGAAGGUGGGGAUGACGUCAAAUCAUCAUGCCCCUUAUGAUUUGGGCUACACACGUGCUACAAUGGACAAUACAAAGGGCAGCGAAACCGCGAGGUCAAGCAAAUCCCAUAAAGUUGUUCUCAGUUCGGAUUGUAGUCUGCAACUCGACUACAUGAAGCUGGAAUCGCUAGUAAUCGUAGAUCAGCAUGCUACGGUGAAUACGUUCCCGGGUCUUGUACACACCGCCCGUCACACCACGAGAGUUUGUAACACCCGAAGCCGGUGGAGUAACCUUUUAGGAGCUAGC
rnacentral:rRNA from 1 species